CCUACGGGUCGCACCAGUAGGGAAUAUUGGGCAAUGGACGGAAGUCUGACCCAGCCAUGCCGCGUGCAGGAUGAAGGCGUUAUGCGUUGUAAACUGCUUUUUUAUAGGAAGAAGGAGACCUUGCGAGGUUUGGUGACGGUACUAUAAGAAUAAGCACCGGCUAACUCCGUGCCAGCAGCCGCGGUAAUACGGAGGGUGCGAGCGUUGUCCAGAUUUAUUGGGUUUAAAGGGUGCGUAGGCGGUUUAUUAAGUCAGUGGUGAAAGACGGUCGCUCAACGAUUGCAGUGCCAUUGAUACUGGUAGACUUGAGUUCGUAUGAGGUAGCUGGAAUGGAUAGUGUAGCGGUGAAAUGCAUAGAUAUUAUCCAGAACUCCAAUUGCGUAGGCAGGUUACUAAUACGAUACUGACGCUGAUGCACGAAAGUGUGGGGAUCAAACAGGAUUAGAUACCCGCGUAGUC
rnacentral:rRNA from 1 species